GAUGAACGCUGGCGGCGUGCCUAAUACAUGCAAGUCGAGCGAACAGACGAGGAGCUUGCUCCUCUGACGUUAGCGGCGGACGGGUGAGUAACACGUGGAUAACCUACCUAUAAGACUGGGAUAACUUCGGGAAACCGGAGCUAAUACCGGAUAAUAUAUUGAACCGCAUGGUUCAAUAGUGAAAGACGGUUUUGCUGUCACUUAUAGAUGGAUCCGCGCCGCAUUAGCUAGUUGGUAAGGUAACGGCUUACCAAGGCAACGAUGCGUAGCCGACCUGAGAGGGUGAUCGGCCACACGGGAACUGAGACACGGUCCAGACUCCUACGGGAGGCAGCAGUAGGGAAUCUUCCGCAAUGGGCGAAAGCUUGACGGAGCAACGCCGCGUGAGUGAUGAAGGUCUUCGGAUCGUAAAACUCUGUUAUUAGGGAAGAACAAAUGUGUAAGUAACUAUGCACGUCUUGACGGUACCUAAUCAGAAGGCCACGGCUAACUACGUG
rnacentral:rRNA from 1 species